UAUUGUAAGCAAUUAAAAUAUUUAGUAAGAAUAAACAUUAGAUAAAUGAAAUAAAUACGAAGAAACAGAAGCGAUAACAAAUUUCUUACUAUAAAAUAAGCGUGCAGAGAUAUUUCGUAUGGUAGAAUAGUAGUCUGGUUAAUGAUAAAGAAAAAAUAAAAAGUUAACUUGAGACAAUGACGUAAUGUUAUAUUUCAUCUGAUAAAAUACUAAAAAUUUCCUAGUACAAGAUUGUAGUUCACUCACAUUUUAAAUCUAGAGUAUCGUUAUUACGCGUAAAAUUCCAAUUCGGUCAAUCGUAUGGAUUAUUUUUCUUGUAAAUAACUUUUUAGUGAUGUCAGUUUUUUAAUUUGAAACUACUCGAGUUUUUUUCUCUAUUCAAAAACCAGAUCUUAUUCCUGGAAAUAUCAUAUUAAUAUAUAUACAUAGCUAAUUCAUGACUUACAUGCAUCAUGCAAUUUAUUUCUCAUUGAUACAAUUGCG